rnacentral:rRNA from 1 species
GGUUCCUACGGGACGCAGCAGUGGGGAAUAUUGCACAAUGGGGGAAACCCUGAUGCAGCGACGCCGCGUGAGCGAAGAAGGCUUUCGAGUCGUAAAGCUCUGUCCUAUGGGAAGAUAAUGACGGUACCAUAGGAGGAAGCCCCGGCUAACUACGUGCCAGCAGCCGCGGUAAUACGUAGGGGGCGAGCGUUGUCCGGAAUUAUUGGGCGUAAAGGGUACGUAGGCGGUAAUCCAAGUCCGUUGUGAAAGAAUAGGGCUCAACCCUGUCAAGCAGUGGAA